GACGAACGCUGGCGGCGUGCCUAAUACAUGCAAGUUGAGCGCUGAAGGUUGGUACUUGUACCAACUGGAUGAGCAGCGAACGGGUGAGUAACGCGUGGGGAAUCUGCCUUUGAGCGGGGGACAACAUUUGGAAACGAAUGCUAAUACCGCAUAAAAAUUUUAAACACAAGUUUUAAGUUUGAAAGAUGCCAUUGCCUCACUCAAAGAUGAUCCCGCGUUGUAUUAGCUAGUUGGUGAGGUAAAGGCUCACCAAGGCGAUGAUACAUAGCCGACCUGAGAGGGUGAUCGGCCACAUUGGGACUGAGACACGGCCCAAACUCCUACGGGAGGCAGCAGUAGGGAAUCUUCGGAAAUGGACGAAAGUCUGACCGAGCAACGCCGCGUGAGUGAAGAAGGUUUUCGGAUCGUAAAACUCUGUUGGUAGAGAAGAACGUUGGUGAGAGUGGAAAGCUCAUCAAGUGACGGUAACUACCCAGAAAGGGACGGCUAACUACGUG
rnacentral:rRNA from 1 species